rnacentral:sRNA from 1 species
AACACGAAGUGGGGAUCUGCACUUGGGGUGGUCAGCACUGCGGAUGCCCAGCAAAGUCACUGCCUGGUCCACAUCCCGAAGGGGUCUCUGCGCCUCAGUCGGCAUCGCAGCUGAUGGUGAAACUUUUGGUGUGGCAGAGGAGUGUCCACAAACUUCAGAAGGGCCGCGGCAAGGUCCUCGCUCCCAUGGCGUGACUCCAGGGUGCAGGAGCCUGGGCUGAGCAGGUGGAGUAGGGUGAGCACCGCCAAGAACCCAGCGAGAGUGGCGCCCCAGGGCGGCACAGGAGGCCGCAUUUAACAUGUCAAUCAUCUGAAAGAUUUUAUGGCAUCUUUUUUUUGACAUCUUAUAAAAUCUAUAGUUUAUUAUAUCUUGUGAUAUAAUUA